rnacentral:rRNA from 1 species
GUGUCAGCCGCCGCGGUAAUACAGAGGGUGCAAGCGUUGUCCGGAAUGAUUGGGCGUAAAGCAUUUGUAGGUGGUUUCUAAAGUCAACUGUUAAAUCCCAGAGCUCAACUUUGGACAAGCAGUUAAGUACUUAGGGACUUGAGUAUGGUAGGGGUAGAGGGAAUUCCUAGUGGAGCUGUGAAAUGCACAGAGAUUAGGAAGAACACCAGUGGCGAAAGCGCUCUACUGGGCCAUUACUGACACUGAGAGAUGAAAGUCGGGGGAGCGAAAAGGAUUAGAUACCCUUGUAGUCCCGACCGUAAACGAUGGAUACUAAGUGCUGUCAAAAACAGUGCUGUAGCUAACGCGUUAAGUAUCCCGCCUGGGGAGUAUGCUCGCAAGAGUGAAACUCAAAGGAAUUGGCGGGG